rnacentral:lncRNA from 1 species
AUGUUCCAGACACCAGCCCCAUGGUCCAGCCACCCAGCUUCUCUCUCACUCCUGAUGUUGCUGAGUUCUUUCAUGCACACCAGCCUUACCAACCUCCAUGCAUCUCUUGAUCUUCUUUCACCACCACAAGCAAAUUAUUUCUCAAUCCUCUUAUCCAAUUUCUCUCUUGAGGGUAGGUUACACUCUACAACCAAGUGUCAUCUUCCCUCACGGAAAAUAAUGAAGGGAUGUCCACUUUCCCUCAAUAUGAAGAGUGUGCGAAAUGGAUUGAAUCCAGGAAAAAGAUGAAGAAAGUUGUGUAUUUGAAAUGGUCAUCCACUCAUUCAACAGAGAUAUACUGAGUACUGCUCUUCCAGGGACUGUUCUAGAUGUCCCUAUUCGUUAACAAACAGAAGAGUAAAGUCACUGUUCUCAGGGAGCUCAUAAUCUACAGAAUGUGUUAGUCAAGUUCCUAUUGCUACCACAAAAUAUCUAAUAUAAUAAACUUACAAAGAGAGGUUUUUAUUGGCUCACAGUUUCAGAGGUUCCAGUCCACAAUUUGCCCUUGGCUUUGACCCUAUGGUGAGAUAGUACAUCAUGGUGGAAACACAUGGUGAAGUAAAAUUGUUCACUUCAUGGCCAGGAAGCAAACAAGUAAAAAGAGGAAGAGAUGAAUGCCACAAUUGCCUUCAGGGGUUUGCCCCUGACAACCCAAGACCUUCCACAAGGCCCUCCCUCUCAAAGGUCCCACUCACAGUGGUCUUCAGCACCACUGGGGACCAAGCUUUUAACAGGUGGGCCUUUGGUGGACAAUGAAGAUCCAUGCCGUAGCAUUCUAUUUCUGCCCCCACAAUGGUCCAUGUUCCUCUCGUAAUGUAAAAAUCAAAAAGAAAGUUACCUGCUCCUAAGACACAAUGUUGGGAAUGGCAGUGAGUACAUAUUCUCAUCCCAAAAGAGAGGAAUAAAAGAAUAGAGAAAAGGGAUCAGCCCAAAGUAAAGCUGAAAUACAGCAGGACGAGCAUUAAGUCCCAAAUCUCCUCGUCUAAUACUUGGGGGAUACUGUGGCAGAAUGAGAUCCCAAGGGCAGCCCCACCACUAUGACCUCAGUGGUUGCAAGCCACAUAGCCACAGUCUUGGGCUGACAUGGUACACUGCCUGUAGCUCUCGUGAUGGACACUGCACAUUACCGGCAACUCCACCUGUCUGGUUCUCCAUUAUAGCUUCGAUUUUACUCCCAUAGCUCCGCAUGUUGCUCUGUCAGGCACUGUUUAUAAGAACUCCAACCCCACAAUACACUGCCUGGCCUUGUAGAUUUUCCUUUGAAAUCUCAAAGACAGCUUCCACCGUCACAUGAUUCUUGCAUUCUGCAUGUCUGCAAAACCAGCAUCAUACGGACAAGGCCAAAAUCUACUGCCAGCAUGAGCUGUACCUGGGUUCACUUGAAACAUGGCUACAACAGCCACUCAGUGCCUUGCCAGCUAAACAUGGGGACACAGAUCAGGUUAAAUGAUUCCCUAGGUGGUCCUGGGUGGGCAGACCAGGGGAUCUUUACUCAAAAGUUUCUAUGCUGCCUGGAGAGUCUUUGAAAAAGAUUUGCAUCUUGAUACCCUUGAGCCUAGGAUGGGUGAUGAGAUCUUGCACACUCUUGUGAUGUCCUCAAGGCAUCUUUCCUAAGGUCCUGAUGGAAAGCACUUGGUUUCCUUUUAUCAGCGCUAGCAACCCAUACCCUUACAGGUAUUUCUUUUCAAGCCAAACUGCAAGUUUUUCAAAUGUUUUUCUGUGCUGCUCCUUUUUUCUUUUUUUUUUUGGUACCAGGGAUCGAACUCAGGACCUUGCUCUUUCGAGGCAGCAGCACCACUGAGCUAAAUCCCUGGCCCUGUUCUGCUCCAUUUUUAAUUCCUGAUUUUCACUAUAAAUUUGGCUAAAAUCAACCAACAAUCCCCAUGCUAUAGCCUAAACAUUUUGAUGCCUUGAAAUUUCCCUCAUGAGAUAAACUAGCUACCCACAAAAUAUGAGGGCCUGGAUGAAAUGCAUUUACAUUCUUUGCCAUGGUGUAACAAGGAUGACAUCUAGUCCAAUUUUCAAUAAAGUUCUCAUUUCCAUGUCAAACCUUGCAGCUUUCCAACACUACAACAAAUUCCCGAGAUAAUCAACUUAUAAAGAGAGAAGGUUUAUUCUAGCUCAUGGUUUUAGAAGUUCAGUCCUCAAUUAGUCCUUUGCUUUGGGCUUGAGGUAAGGCAACACAUCAUGGUAAAAGCACAUGGCGAAGCAAAAUUAUUCAUCUCAUAGCUAGGAACCAAAAAAGACAAAAAGAGACUAACAUCCCACAAUCUCCUUUUGGACAUAACCCUAGUGAAUCAAAGGCUUCCCCCAAGAUCCCACCUAUCAACAUGCCAACAUCUCCCAACAGCACCAGUAUGGGGAACAUCUAACAUCAAACCAGAGCAAGAAGGAACAGGCUGGGUGACAGGCUGUGAAAGAAAACCUUCUAAGUAGAGGAAUCACCACAUAUUCUCUGCCCCGGGGUAGGAAAAGGCUUUGAGUGGUCAAACAAACAAACAAACAAAAAAAUCAAAGCUUGGUGGCUGUCAAUUGAACAUGGUAAAUGAAAACAGAGUACCUUGACAUGAAUUUAGCAUGGGGUAGACGGCAUGGCAGAGGUUUGUUUUUUAAUUCUCUUUCCAUCUUGCAUUUUGCAUUUUGUUACAAAUACUAUUAUUUGGAACAGGGGCCAUGCCAUGACACAGUGCCCAUUUUAAGAAAGUUGUCUAGCUACUGUGUGAGGAAUGGAUUAAAAGGCUUAGCAUGGAAAUGGAGGACUAACAAGAACUGUUGCAACAGUCCAGAGAAGAAGUAACAGUAACCCAGACAAGGCAGCAACAGUAGUAAUAGAAUAAAGUAAAUAGACUGGAAAUAUAUUUGGAAGUAAAUUUUUUUACAAACAGGCAGUAGUGUGAAUAUGAAGGAUGAUGGAUGUGUCAGAGAGAACUUCCGGUUUCUGGCAUAAAUAACUUCCCUAUUUCAUGAUAUGAGAAAGAUAAAGAGGAGGAGCCAACUUAAAGGAGCAGAGGAAGAGCUUUCUCUUGAGACACUCGAGUGAAGAUAUUCAAUGGGAAUUAGAUAUAUUGGUCUGAACUCAGCACAGCGGAGUGAGUAAAAUUUAAAUGAAGG